rnacentral:rRNA from 1 species
GAUGAACGCUGGCGGCGUGCCUAAUACAUGCAAGUCGAGCGAACAGACGAGGAGCUUGCUCCUCUGACGUUAGCGGCGGACGGGUAAGUAACACGUGGAUAACCUACUUAUAAGACUGGGAUAACUUCGGGAAACCGGAGCUAAUACCGGAUAAUAUUUUGAACCGCAUGGUUCAAUAGUGAAAGACGGUUUUGCUGUCACUUAUAGAUGGAUCCGCGCCGCAUUAGCUAGUUGGUAAGGUAACGGCUUACCAAGGCAACGAUGCGUAGCCGACCUGAGAGGGUGAUCGGCCACACUGGAACUGAGACACGGUCCAGACUCCUACGGGAGGCAGCAGUAGGGAAUCUUCCGCAAUGGGCGAAAGCUUGACGGAGCAACGCCGCGUGAGUGAUGAAGGUCUUCGGAUCGUAAAACUCUGUUAUUAGGGAAGAACAAAUGUGUAAGUAACUAUGCACGUCUUGACGGUACCUAAUCAGAAAGCCACGGCUAACUACGUG